UACGGAGGUAGCAAGCGUUGUUCGGAAUGACUGGGUGUAAAGCGCAUGUAGGCGGUUUCGUAAGUUGAAUGUGAAAUCCCUUGGCUUAACCAAGGAACGGCAUUCAAUACUGCAUUACUUGAGUGCGGAAGAGGAAAGUGGAAUUUCUGGUGUAGCGGUAAAAUGCGUAGAUAUCAGAAGGAACACCGGUGGCGAAGGCGACUUUCUGGUCCGCAACUGACGCUCAGAUGCGAAAGCUAGGGGAG
rnacentral:rRNA from 1 species